rnacentral:rRNA from 1 species
CCUACGGGAGGCAGCAGUGAGGAAUAUUGGUCAAUGGGCGCGCGCCUGAACCAGCCAAGUAGCGUGACGGAUGACUGCCCUACGGGUUGUACACUUCUUUUAUAAAGGAAUAAAGUGAGGCACGCGUGCCUUUUUGUAUGUCCUUUAUGAAUAAGGAUCGGCUAACUCCGUGCCAGCAGCCGCCGUAAUACGGAGGAUCCGAGCGUUAUCCGGAUUUAUUGGGUUUAAAGGGAGCGUAGAUGGAUUGUUAAGUCAGUUGUGAAAGUUUGCGGCUCAAACGUAAAAUUGCAAUUGAUACUGGCAGUCUUGAGUACAGUUGAGGUAGGCGGAAUUCGUGGUGUAGCGGUGAAAUGCUUAGAUAUCACGAAGAACUCCGAUUGCGAAGGCAGCUUACUAAACUGCCACUGACAUUGAUGCUCGAAAGUGUGGGUAUCAAACAGGAUUAGAUACCCUAGUAGUC